AGUUGGGUCAGUGCUUCCUCCAUGAGGAAGUGGGUGUGAAUGCUUCUUCCCCCUCCUCCUCUGACCAGCCCAGGAACGUGAUGAUGCUUGCCUGGAGGGCUGGAAUAACAUACUCCCACCCUCCCGCUGCUUUUCUCUACACAACCUUGGGCUCCCUCCUCCUUCUCUGCCUCCGCCCACCAAAGAGCAGAACAUCACAACAACAACAAGCACUCUGGGUUGUUUUAACUACUGCGCAAGCAGCACCUUGGAGGGACGAAAGAGAAUUUUAGGGUGGCAGAAUUGGGUUUUCUGUCCACGCACUCCUCUUUUAUUUCUUUUUGCUGUGCUACCUGUAGGGCACUACCACUGAGAACCCCAACAAGAGCUCAGUUUUGCCUGACUGAGCAUGAAACAGGAAACCACCUCCCACUACGGAAAUCACCUUGACACGAAGAGCCAAGAAUCAGACAAAUGAAGAAAAGUCUCAAUUUAUGUAAAGCCUGGAUAUUUGUUUCCUAAGCAAAUCAGCAAAGAAAGCCCUUGCAGAAGGAUAUUCUCUGUCUGAGCAGUGGGAGCAAUUCACUGGGAAGACACAGGAGAUGGUAUUCUCUUAUGGCACCCUGAUUACAGAAUGACUAUGCUUUGGAGGUCAGAUUGAUAGUGAUGCUGCCUUAAUUCUGGCACUGAGCUAAAAUCAUCUUUUAAAAUACAAAGCUUUGGAGGACCAUACUGCAUAGGUAAAGAAUUUUUACAAUGUUGAUGUGUUUUAACUAUGCUGUAACCCACCCGGAGCCACGAAGAGAGGCCCCUAUCGACAUAUUUUUAUGCUUACGCUUAAAGAGCCAUCAACUGUGGAAUGGUACUAUAGAUCAACCCCUGCUGUUGCCAUCAGGUCGUGGGUGGUAUAGUAUUUGACAAUCAAAAUGACUUUUUAUUGGCAGUUUGGAUGAUAUACAGACAAGUCUUGUACAGCUCAGUGAUGUGAAUCUUUGCAGAUGAGAGGCCCAAGACAGCAGGGAAAUCCUAGCCUGGUUGAAGAGAUACGCAAGAUCUAAAGCUAUAAUUCUAAAUACAAACUCAGCAAAUAAUGCCCCUAUCAUGAAGGAUCUGUUUUUACUUACAGACAGCUCUGGAACUAAUAUGUGUACAUUGCACUAAGAACACACAGAGUAGUUAAUAUUCACGUAUGUUGCUUUUAUCCUUACACAGGACUGCAGUUGGCUUAGAUCCAAUUUAAAAUAGGGUAUAGCUUAACAUCCCUCCCACCCACAAAUAAUUAGCAGAAAAGUUUUAAAAAAUUAAACACACAAUUCUGUUCAAAACACAAAUUUAUAACUUUUCAAAAUAUAUUAUUAAAGAUAAAAGGACAGUGCCAUUAAAAGCCCUUUAUCCUACACCAAAUGCAUCAGUUGCCACCAAUUGCCUCCUGUUGGGAAAAGAAGCAAGAAGGAACCAACUGGACAUGGAACUACACUGAUUGAUAAUCCACAGCCAAUCUGACACAUCAUACAUUGAUCAGCCCCAGUGUCUGGGAUGUCAUAUGCUGGAUCGGCUCCAAUAUGGUACUCCCCCAGCCAGUUCAGUGCUGAUGGGUGGAUACCCUAAUCAUCCUCUCACACCCUCCAUGUUGAGAUAGUCUCUGGCCAUCACCUGGGUACUAAAUGUCUGCUUUCGCAUCUAGUGCUGUUGGAUGGAGUGACAGCAUGAGGAGAGAUGGGGAACACGAAUAAAAGUAUUUCUCUCCUCACCUUUCUCCCUUCCCAAAGUGUUCAGUCACCCCAGCUGAGUCACUACAGACAAUGAUAGGCAUGUAGGUCACAUGUCAUUCCCAGAAUCAUUGCAACAUGGAAGGCAGGAGAGGAUAGUGACUGCCAUACUAUGUUCUCAGAGCACCCAAACCUGGAAACAUGGGAUGGCAAAGGGGACAGUUGUGGAACCAGUCCAACUAUUCAGACAAGCCCAAAGUUGGGGAAUAGCCUGAAUUUUUGGGCAGAAUUCAGACUAUCUCCCAACUUUGGUUAACAUGGGACAAGGCUGUGUUAAGGUGCCCUUGCCUUACAUUAUCCCGGAUGGGGUUUGGCUGCCACAGAGCUGAUCCCGCCCUAUACUGACCAAAUCAGCCCUGAGCUACCUGUGAGUGGAAAUUCAAAACUUGAGAACAGUCACUGAGGGCCCAUCAACUCUGUAGUGUUAAUGCACCAUUUUAACUGCCAGGACUCAAUGCUACGGAAUUCUGGAAUUUGUGUUAAAGAGGCACCCACACUCUUUGACAUUAAAGCUAAAGACCUUGUAAAAACUACAACCCCUGUGAUUCCAUAACACUGAGCUAUUGCAGUUAAAGUGAUGUCAAACUACAAUAAUUUUACACACUCAGAAGGCUCUCUCCCACAUACAGUCAUGUGAUCGUGGCGGGAACCUAUAGAACAUAAAACUCAGGUGAACACAUCAGUCUGAGUUUUACAUGACCACAUCAGCAAGAUUUUUGUAAGUGAAGAAACUGACAAAAAUAGAAAUUUCAGGAAGGUUGGAUAAUGAAAGUGUUUGAACUGACAGAAAUGAACAAAUUAUCUAUUUUGAUCAAAGAAAAAUUACUGGUAAGUUUUAUGAAAUAUUGAGGCCGGGCUUUAGCACAUUAGGUUAACCACUAGCUGCAAAAAAAUCUUGCCAAUAGAAAGGUUGGCAGUUUGAAGCUCAGGUUGAAAAUGUGUGCCCAACCUUCAGCCCAGCUCACUACCCACCUAGCAGAUCGAAAACAGCUGUGAGUAGAUAAAUAGGUUGCUUGCUUAAUUGGGGAAGUAUUUUAAUGGCACCAUAAGGAAAGACCAGAAAAGUGCAGAUCUGUGAACGAGGCUUUUUGACAUGGAUAAUGUAGCGACAGCAAACCCCCCCCCACCAUGGCCGGAAUCGAACACAACCUCCAGGAUGUCGAAGAUGGGAAAUGCCUAUAUACCUCUAUCUGUACUGUUGUCUGUCCUGUCUGUGUAGAACGGCAUUGAAUGUUUGCCGUAUAUGUGUUCUGUGAUCCGCCCUGAGUCCCCUUUGGGGUAAGAAAGGUGGAAUAUAAAUACUGUAAAUAAAUUAAAUAAAUUUACCGUAUACUGACCCGAAUAUAAGCUGAGGCAUUUAAUUUUACCACAAAACACUGGGAAAACUUAUUGACUCAAGUAAAAGAUGAGGGUGGGAAAUACCAAUAAAUUUCAAAAAUAAAAAUAAAAUAGAUACCAAUAAAAAGUACAUAUAUUGAGGCAUCAGUAGGUUAAAUGGUUUUGAAUAUUUACAGAAAACUGUAAUUUAAGAUAAGACUGUCCAACGCUGAUUACCUAUAUACUCAAGUAUAAGUCAACCCAAAUAUAAGCAGGCCAGGACUCUCACUCAAGUAUAAGCCAAGGGGGGCUUUUUCAGCCCUGAAAAAGGGUUGAAAAACUCGGCUUAUACUUGAGUAUAUACAGUAAUUGGAUUUUUUGCAAGAAAUAUGUAAGAAAAUAUUAAUUGUGAAAAUUGAAAAGUAGAUUAGAACAAGAAGUUGGAGCGUAAAGUCUUGUGAAUGUAAGGAUAGUAGGGUUUAUUAUCAGUAGGAACAUUUUAAUGCAGUUAAACUUCUUUCGUGAUCUAUAUUUCAUGGUUAUAAUUCUAUAGUUUUUACUUCAUAUAUUUUUCAGUUUGUAAUAUUAGUAGUUUGUAGAAUAGUAAAUUAGCAAAUGCUUAGUAUGUUAGUGUGUCAUAUUCUUUAUAUUAUAUGUACUUUUCGUUAGCAUCUUUUAUUAUUGUAUAUACAUUUUAGCUAACAAAAACUAUUACAGUAGAGUCUCACUUAUCCAACCUUUGCUUAUCCAACAUUCUGUAUUAUCCAACACAGACUGCCUCCCACCCGGAUCCACAGCUGUUUCUCUAGGCAGCAACGUGCAGUAGGCCAACACAUCCAACAUCAACAGAAGUGCAGCCACGCUCCCAAACAAGUGGCAGACUUGUUGUAAAACAUGAUGUUUGGUGCUUAAUUUGUAAAAUCAUAACAUAAUUUGAUGUUUAAUAAGCUUUUCCUUAAUCCCUCCUUAUUAUCCAACAUUUUUGCUUAUCCAACAUUCUGCUGGCCCGUUUAUGUUGGAUAAGUGAGACUCUACUAUAAUUAAAAAACUCAGGCAGGAUUACACUAGGAGAUAUGGUCUUUCAAAUAAUCAGAACCCAAGCCAUAUAGGGCUUUAAAGAUCAUAAGCAGCACUGGACCAGCAGCUUGUAAAGCUCCAUUUAAGUGCAUCUAAAGUCCAAAUUCUUCUUGUGAUUUAGGAUAGGAUUAAUUACUGAACAAUCUACCUGAUUUUGUUAGUCAACAGUUCUAAAAAUACUUGGAUGUGCCAGCCAAACCCACAUGAAAUCCACAAAAUCUCUAAGAUUUCAACUAAUAAUGACUAACAUCUCUCACUGAUUUCAGCAAGAAACAUGUCUGAUUCAGAACUUACCACACGGUGCUAUACUCUGCUUCUGAGAUCCUUUGCACGAGAUUCCAAACAGGUCCUAUCACAUGAUGUUUGUCCCAUUCUGUCCGCAAUCCAGCUGAGUCUGUUUGCAAACAGUCUUAGAAACUGAGUAAUUACACGCAGGAUUCUAGCCGGUUAUUAAAUUUAAUAUAGUUAUGUGGUACUAUAGUUAUGUGGAAUCAGUAUGCAUUCCAUCAGUUGUGCUAUGACCUUUCCUUUGGGGGCAUGUCUAGGGGUGGAUUCUGCUGACCUGGAAGUCUUUGUGAGGGAAGCAGUCACCAUUUCUCUUUAGGUAGUUACCUGAGAAAGACAUCCAGGAUUAGCAAAUGAGUAAUUGAUGGUUUAACUUUUAUUUCUCUCUCUCAUUGUUUUGACUGAAAACUGCACAAUUUCUUCCCUCUGUUGGAUUUGCUGGUUCACAUCAAAGGGUAGCAACCAGGGAAACCUACUAUUGAGCAAACACAACAUCUUCUAAUAUCUUAUGAGAUCUGUAGUUUGAGAUCUGCAUAAUAUUAUUGUGCACAAUAUUAUCACUGCACAAUAUUAUUAUAAUACAAAAGGGAUGUAGGGAGGCAUUCAAAUGGAUUGGGAGGAGCCAGCCUUCUGUGGUGUUAUGAGUCAAAGCACUGUAUUUUCAAAAGUUAGAAACCAGGUGUAAUCGGAUUUGUAGGCAUCCUGUCUGAAUGUAGUAUACACCCAGUUCUUAGAAACAAUGGGAUGCAUACCGAUAUGAGCGUUUCUAAUGUUAGUGUGACGAGGUCCUCACAUUAUUCCUUCUUGACACUGGUAACAUUUGUAUUUCAGUUGAGGAAAGAAGCUUUUGUUUGGAUGGUUGCUCUAUAUAUAUGGUUUUGGAAUGGUGUAGAACUGAGCUAUAGGAAAUUAUUCCCAUGCUUCUCCAAUACAUGUCUUAGGAUGCAUCUACACUGUAAAAUUAAGAUUGACACUACUUUAUCUAUGGUACCAUAGCUCAAUGCGAUGAAAUCACGGGAAUUGUAAUUUUGCUAGGUUUUUAACUUUCUCAGGGUAGCCAACAAGUGCUAUUACCUCACCAAACUCCUUUACUGGAGGUUUCUAAGCAGAGGCUGAAUGGCCAUCUGUCAGGUUGUUUUGAUUGUGUGUUCUUGCAUGGCAGGGGUUGGACUGGAUAGCCCUUGUGGUCUCUUCCAAUCCUAUGAUUCUAUGGAUCCUUCUAAACCAGCCCAAAUCUGCAUGAAAUCAGUGUUUAAAACGCUAAUUUCAUGUGAAUUUGAUGCCCACACAGCAGGCCAAAACCUCACCUCUUUUGGCAAAGGGGUGGUUACAUUCCCUCCCAUGCCAACUUGAAAUCAGCCCAGGGGGAGGGGAUGGCCACUAGUCCCCCCCCCCUCUUUUGCUUUAAAAAGUUAAAAAUAUGAUCCUUACCCAGCUUGGAGGCUUCUCCUUGCUAUGUGACAUCUGUAAAUGAUGCACAGAGCUUUCAAAGGAGAAUUCCCCCCUCCCCUCUCGAAAGCUUCAAUGUGUAAUUUACAGGUGCAGCAGAGGAAAAAGUCUCCAGACUCAGUAAGAUCUCUUUUAGCAUUUUAAUGCCAAAAAGCGUUUUAGCAUUUUAAUGCCACCUCUAAAGAUGUGGAUCUUGCUGAAACAUUCUGGGCACCGCAAUUUAAGAGAGGUGUUGAGAAGCUGGAAUGUGUCCGGAGGAGGGUGACUAAAUGAUCAAUGGUCUGGAGAACAAGCCCUACGAGGAGCAGCUUAAAGAACUGGGCAUGUUUAGCCGGCAGAAGAGGGUGAGAUGAGACAUGAUGACCAUGUAUAAAUAUGUGAGGGGAAGUCAUAGGGAGGGGGGAGCAAGCUUGUUUUCUGCUGCCCUGGAGACUAGGACAUGGAACAAUGAUUACUACAGGAAAGGAAAUUCCACCUGAACAUUAGGAGGAACUUCCUAACUGUGAGAGUUGUUCGGCAGUGGAACUCUCUGCCUCGGAGUGUGGUAGGGGCUCCUUCUUUGGAGGCUUUUAAGCAGAAACUGGAUGGCCAUCUGUCGGGGUUGCUUUGAAGGCAAUUUUCCUGCUUCUUGGCAGUGGGUUGGACUGGAUGGCCCAUAAGGUCUCUUCCAACUCUAUUAUUCUAUGAUUCUAUCUUAUAGGCAAGCUCCCACUCUGUUAGCUUUUAGGAAAGACUUGAAAACAUGGCUUUUCCGCUGUGCCUUCGGUGAGUAAUUUCUGUCAUAUAUUUCUGUGUUACUCCCACCCUGAACAUCUAUCCUCUAGAUUACCCCACUUCCAUAUGUCCCUGCCAGCAGUGGAGUACCCCUCUGUCCCUCUCACUCCAGGUUUUAUCUCUGUGUUUACGCGGCCUGCCCUUGUUUUAUUGUUUUUUGAUUUCUUGAUGUAAUGCCUAUUAUUAUUUAUUGUAUUUUAAUGGUGCUAUGACAUGUUGUUUUUAUAUUUUAUAUUGUAUUGCUCUGGGCAUGGCCCCAUGUUAGCCGCCCCGAGUCCCCGUUGGGGAGAUGGUGGCGGGGUAUAAAUAAAGUUUUAUUAUUAUUAUUAUUAUUAUUAUUAUUAUUAUUAUUAUUAUUAUUAUUAUUAUAAAAAUACAACUUUAAAAAAUGAGGAAAAUGAACAAGAAAACCUCUGCAAGAAUAUGUCAAGAGAAAACUAGGAUAUACAGUGCCUGGAAAGUGGCAAAACUAAAAGAGUAAAGUGACAAGACCAAAAGAAUAAAAAGAAUGAAGAUGAGAAGACAACUUAAAAUAUCUCUAUAUUCUAUUGGAUGUUAUCAGUGAUACUUGUAUGGUUUUGAAGAUAACAUUUUUCAUUAUCUGUCUAAUAUAUCAUCGUCAUCAUCAUCAUCAUCACCAUCAUUUAAUUACUUAUUAAUCGCCCUCCAUCCACGAUGCAGGAAGAAUCUCUGCAAUAUUGUACAGGUUGAAUAUCUCUUAUCUAGAAUUCAAAAAGCCCAAAUACUCCAAAAUCACCCACAUGGGUGGCUGAGAAUUUGUCAUUUUCGUUUUCUGGUGGUUCAAUGUACAUAAACCUUGAACAAAUUAUUAAAAAUAUAAUCUACAAAAUGAUACUGAGGCUUUGUGUAUAACAGGCAUGGGCAAAUCUUUUUGCCUUGGGGCUACAUUGUGGGCCAGGCACCCACUGGGUGGCACGGGCCCAGGAUGUAAGGACAGGGAUGCUCACCCCAUCCUUAUGCCAAGAAGAAAACGAGACAUGCGAUGAUUGCCCCAAUCCUCUUCCCCAAUAGUCCUCCGUCGAUCUUCGGGCUCUCCUGACGUUUCACCCAGAAUAUGGCAGGUAUCCUCAGAGGUUGAGGGGUCUGAACCUCUGAGGAUGCCUGCCCCUCAACCUCUGAGGAUGCCUGUCAUAGUUGUGGGUGAAACGUCAGGAGAGAAUGUUUCUAGAACAUGGCCAUACAGCCCAGAAGACUCACAAAACCCAUCUCCAAGUUGUUUUAGUUAUUUAUAUGCAAGUAUUUCAAAACUGGAAAAAAUACAGAUCACUUAUGGUCCAAACAUUUUAGAUACAGGAUGCUCAACCUGUGGUCUCCAAUACAUUAUAUCACUGUACAGUCAAAACUGUUAAGGAUCUGUGCUAAUAAGAGCAAUUCAGAAACAUAUAGUUCUCCUUAUUCUAAGGAUUUUUAAAAUUUAUAUUUUGUUUAUUAAUAUUUUUUCCAAAGGAUAUGACAGAGAAAUGGGGAAGUGUGGGGAUGUUCAUAUUAAUGUUAGUAAAUUAAUAAAUCUUAGCAAAUAUCUGAUGAAUCGUCAAGAGAGAGGAAAAUGAUAUAGGGGCAAAGGGAAAGCACUGUAUAACAUUUUAUUGUAUUACAUUCAGUUCUUAAUCUCUAUUACCCUAACAUCCAUUGCUUAAACUAUUAAAAGUUUUUGAAAAUUGAUAUAUCAUCUAUAUAAAAAAGGAGUCAUAUUGUCCUUUAUUUUAAACCCAAUAAUCUGCCUUCUUAAACCUUCUUCUUGUAUUUGAUAUUGUUCCAUGUUUCUGUCUCCUUUUCUUUUUCUCAUUAACAGUUCUUCUUGGUUAUUCCUGUUAAGGGCACUUCCACAAAGCCAUAUAACCCAGAAUAUCAAAGCAGAUAAUCCACGAUAUCUUCCUUGAACUGGAUUAUCUGAGUCCACAUUGUCAUAUAAUCCAGUUCAAUGUGGAUUUUACACAGGUGUGUGGAAGUGGCCUUAGAUUAUUUCUUUUAACUCCUUUUUAGUUAUGAUUAUUGCCAAACAGUAUUAGAAAAAAAUAAUUUAAUCUGUUUGUUAGUAAAUUAGUAUUAUGUGUGCAAUAUUUAUUUUCUAUAUAUCAAUAUCAUUCAUCCUCCUUUUUUCUGCUGCCAAAAAUCUGUAUAUUUCUAUAGAAAUAAUUCAACUUUACUUAAGAGCGCUAGGUCUCUAUCAUAUCCUAUUCGAUUUGUCAUCGAAUGACUCCUUUGGGCUUCACACAAAUCUACUAUUUGCCAAAAUAUACGAUCUGGUGCUUUUCUUUUUAAUUUCUGGCCAAAUAGCUUAACUAUUGGUUCAUCCCAUUGAAUACAAGGUCUGCCCAAGGACUGCUUGUGGCCUCUUGGUAACCAGUUUGGCAUCCAACUGGCAAAUGGCGAAUAGGCAAGAAGACGCAAGGCUGCUUGGACGGAUUUUAAUAGGAAUUGGACAGUGCUAAUAGAUGAAAAGCUGCCAAUGAAGGUCAGAGCAGAUAUCUUCAACACUACAGUUUUACUGGCAACAUUAUAUGUAUCUGAAACAUGGGCAACAACAAAGUUAAGAGGAGGAAAAACUGGCCGUGACUCAGAGAGCAAUGGAAAGAAAGACGUGUGGUGUGACAAUAAGAGAUAAAGUCAGGAAUAAAGAGCUGUGUCAAAGAACCAGGGUACGUGAUGUGGUCAUGGUCAAUGAAAUCUAUGAGGCAAAAAAGAAGAUGGGCAGGACAUAUAGCAUAAACAAAAGACAAUCAAUGGACAUGUCAACUAACAAACUGGAUGCCAACUAGAAACCAACUGGAUACCCAGUCUCUAUUAACUAAUAUCCCUUAUAUGAGGGGUUGUUUUUUUCAGUUGAGAAACUGCAAAUUGCUUCUGGUGUGAGAGACUUGGCCAUCUGCAAGGAUGUUGUCCAAGGGAUACCCAUAUGUUUUACCAUCCUGUGGAAGGCUUCUCUCAUGUCCCAGCAUGGGAAGCUAGAGGUGACAGAUGGGAAUUCACUCUGCUUCCUGUAUUUGAACCACCAACCUUUUGGUUAGCAGUCCUGCCGGCACAAGAGUUUAACCCAUUGUGCCACCUGGGGCUCUAUAUGAGGGGUUGGACAAUAACAGUGGUUCUCAAUCUGGGGUCCCCAGAUGUUUUUGGCCUUCAACUCCCAGAAAUCCUAACAGCUGGUAAACUGGCUGGGAUUUCUGGGAGUUGUAGGCCAAAAACAUCUGGGGAUCCCAGGUUGAGAACCACUGGUCUAUAAUAUAAGAAAUAUAUAUAAAAGAGUAAUCAUAUUUUAAAUCAACCAGUUCCACACUCCAUUCUUUUUUGAUCUCUUAUACAUACAAACGUUUUUAAAAAUUGGAUACAAUCCAGAGAGAGUUUGGUGCUCACAGUUUCUUGCUAUUGAGCCCUGAAGUUAUCAUGUGUUCACUCAAGAUUCUGAGUUUCUCCCAACUGUCUAUUAUUUUUCUCUAUUUGUGAGUCUUACCCUUACAAGUAGAGUUAUCUCUUACAAAUAUAUUCUCAGUAAUUGUGCCAGAGCGUUUGUUACAAAUCCUGGAGCAUUCAGGAUUUGCAGCCCUAGCCAGGAAGCCAAAAUCCUGUGGGUUCUUGGCGUUCAUUUAAUGUUCAAAUGUCAGCCUGCCAAAAAAAAGCUUUUGAUCAUGAACUGGUUGACAGAUUUUUAAUUUAUGGUCGAACUCUUACUCAGUAGCUAGUCCUCCUGACUCUGGAUUUCACGUCUCUGUUAUCUCCAGAUCUCAUGGUCCCGCAGUCUCUAGUACUCAAGGAUUCAGGGCAGUUAGAGGGCUGGAGUGUCUCUGUGUGGAAGGCAAGAAGCUACAUUCAACACAGUGGGUUCACUUAUUCUUACACUUAUUUGCCACACAAUAAUUGUUUUACAUAAAGUUAUAAAAUAGUUUGUUGGGUUAAAAUUAACUGGAGUGAGACACAUCUUUGGAGAGAGUUUGCUGUUGUGAGAUUAUUGGGUUCUAUGAGGCUUAUAUAAUGAAUACUGUAUACACAAAUGGAAUUUUUCAAGAAUCUGCCUUUUGUAACAAUCAGAUAACAAAUCACACUCUUUCACACAGAGACAAGCAGCUGCAGCAACUGCAACAACAAACCAGGAUAUCCUAAAUUGGAUAUGAUAUGUGUAUGUGUUUAUAUGUAUGUGUGUACACACACACACACACACACACACACACAAUAAGGCAUCAAUACUGAUAUUAUUUGCAGAAAACGUCUUGUUAUGAAUCAGAUCUCAUAAACAGAGAAAUCAAACAGUGGGAUAUGUGGAAAAGACAGAACAAGAUGAGCAUGCGUUUUUGAGUGAAGGCCAGCUGUUUGGAGACUCAUUUAUGCAUCUUUACAGUUUUUACAGCCAAAUGCUCUAUAUUAGAGCAUAGGGUCUAAACAGCUAGAGUUUAUGUUGAGAGGAAGUCACUAAAGUGGGAUGCAUCUACACCACAGAAUUAAUGCAGUUUGGCACCAAUUUAAUUACCAUGACUCAAGGCCAUGAAUUCUAUUCCAUCCCAUUUGGGCAAUGAUCCUGAGUCAUAGAAACAACAGCAGUAAAUACAGGUCUCUGAAAGAAUGGAGGAUGCCAUGGAGGUUUCUGAGGAUGAAAUGUGUGUUGGUAAGUAGAUUUUUGAAAGAUGUUCUGUCUUCUUAGUGAGACCAUUCAAGAUGUGAUAGUAGAAGAGAAUACUCAAAAACAUCCCCCUUCCCAUAAUCAAAAUCAUGUUUUUCUAAUGUCACCAAAUCCCGAUGAGAGUCACUGAUGAGAAUAUUCACAGUUCAGGAUUUAUUCUGUGCACUAUUCGUACAAAAUGGUUUCCUACAAAGAAAAUGGGCAAUCGGAGAGUUCUCCUUCUAACUUGUGGUCCUGGAUUUGUUUUGAUGCUAUGAUAAUCAGGCCAAAAUGUUUUCCACUUCUGCUCAAAAGUGCUACAUAAAUACUGAAAUUACUAGUACUGGUAGUUAAGGAGGCUUGUUCGUUUCAGUGAUGUUCAUUGGUAUAAGCACACACUGGACUUCAGGCAUUCAAUUAAAGAAUCCUAAGAGAGGAAGAAUUGCUUGGGAAUGCAUUCCAACACAUUCUGCCUUCUCAAAGAUUUGUUCUUUCAACCAAUAUUUCACUAAACUGUAUUCUUGGAGAGCCUAGUAUCCUGUUGAAUGGUCAUGCUCCACUGAUCAGUUUUGCCAUAAUAUUUUCUAUUUUUCAGUGAACUCAGUUCCACUGAAAUUAGGGUGGUUUUCUUAUACGAAAACAAAUGUAAGUUUACAUCAUAACAGGAUGGUGAGGCUGCAGGAACAAGUGUGCUUGGAAGACUGACCCAAGUGAGUUUGCCAGUAGAAUUAUAAAUAGUACCCAAUUAAGUGCAAAAACAACAGAUGCUUCUUUCCUGUAAGAUGGAAAAGGACUUGUGAAACAUGGAGUUUAUAUAAAGGUCCAGAGAGUAUUUUUUAACUCUAUGGCCAUGUAUUCCAACAUUAAAUAUUACAUAAUGUAUGUUGUAAUAAAGAAAUUGCUCAAAAACAAGCCCAAAAGAAAAACAUUUUUUUUCUCUUACAGCUGACAAACCUUCAGAUAUCUGGGUCUUAAUGCAAUGACACAUAAGAGGCAGAAAACAAGAGCAAAAUAACACAUGCAUCGGUCCAUAAAUUUUCCCUCUGGAAAUGGGUCUAUAUGGCCCCUUCUACAUUGCCAGAUAAAAUCAAGAUUAUCUGCUUUGAACUGGAUUAUAUGGCAGUAAAGGCUCAUAUAAUCCAGUUCAACAUAGAUAAUCUGGAUUAUCUGCUUUGAUAAUCUGGAUUACAUGACAGUGUAGAAAGGUCCUGUGUUUAAUGACUGUGAACCACACCUUCUGUAAGGCUAUGUGAAAUGUCUACCUCUGAUGGCAGAUGUUGGUGUUUGGGAGGAGUAUCACUGUCCCAUCUGUCCUUGUGGCUUCUCAAUAGACUUGGGCCUGAAUCAUGUUUCAUCUGUUUCUUUCGUGGUUUUGUACCGUUCCGUACAACCUCCUCCAGAACAAAAGAAGCAGUCAAACAGAAAAGGAGGGGAGUGGUAGCCAUUUGAUCAGCUGAUUUUUGGCACUUGGCUGUAGGCUUGAUACUUGUAGGCCUAGCUCGCAGGACCUACAGUUGAGCUUUGAGCACUUGGCUGUAGGCCCUGCCUGCUGGGCCUAUAAGCAUCGAAUGAUUGGUGCUCAACUGUAGACACUGUGAGCCAGGCCUACGAGCCAUUGAGCACUUGAUGCUCAUAGGCCUGGCAGGCAGGGCAUAUAGCCGAGCACUCAAUGGCUCAUAGGCCCAGCUCACAGGGCCUACAAUCAAGUGUUGAGCGCUCAGCUGUAGGCCCUCCUGCCAGGCCUACUAGCAUCAAGCGAUUGGUGCUCGGCUGUAGGCCUUGUGAGCUGGGACUAUGGACAUCGAGCACUCGGGUUGAUCGCUCAGUGCUCGUAGGCCCAUCAGGCAUGGCCCACAGCUGAGUGCUUGAUGGCUCAUAGGCCGGGCAGGCAGGGCCUACAGCCGAGCACCAGUAGUAACAACUAUCAGCUAGAAAAUGUCUCCCUACACUGCUAGCCAUUGGAUUCAGUUGGCUACAGCUGAUACAGUUAAACUGGAAUCAUUGUACUAUAAUUGUAAAGUGUGACAUGACAUCUGGGGCUUGGAUAUGGUAGUGAAUGGCCUCCGAUCAAUUCAGUCAAAGAGAGAUAUGCUGACUUCCACUAUAUUUCAUGGGAGGAUAAAUGCACUGAGAACAUGGAAUUUGUUGUUUUGCAUUCUCCCAGGUUUCACUGCACCACUCUGCCAAACCCAGAAAUUAUGGUUUGGGCACAAUUUCGUUUUUUUGCAUUUUUAAUCAAUUUCACUUAUAUUUUCAGUCAUAUUCUGGGCAUGUUGAGAAUAGACAAAACAAAAUUACUUCAGUUUUUUUUUUAAAUGUCGCUAUUCUAGCAAAUUGGGGGCAAGAAAAGAAAGUCCAAGAAAAAUUUAAAAUGGGGCUCACGGAUAAUACCUUUUCAAUCCCUGCUAUACUUAGACUGAGAAGUAAUUGGUCUCUUAUUUUUCUCUUAAGCAGUAAGAUCACUUGUGUGAACCCAGACAGGUAUAAAAUAUAGACAAUGAAACAGCUUGGUACUUUUCCACAAUGCUAUUUAAAUUAUCAGACCUCAAAUGGAAUGAUUGAGUUGUUGCCAGCUAUAUUUGCUUGUGCUGCAGUAACCUGGCACACAUUUGCUUGCUGCAUCUCAACAAUUGUCACUGAGGAAUGAAACAACUUGAUAUGUUUCUGUUGGAUGUCACCUCUUUCUUGUCAGGGAGGAAUGCAGUUGUAUAGACUGCCUCUUCCUUCACAGUGAAAGAUCAAUUCCUCAAUGUGAACAUGAAAAGCAUGUAUGUGCAUGACACUCCCAUUUCCACUGGAAGAAAACAGGGUGUGAUGACCUGGUAUAUCAGUCAGACCAACAGUUAAACUACUGGAUAUAAAGGCAUAGUGUGGUGAUUUGAGCAUUGGAUGAGGAUUCUGGGAGACCAGGCUUUGAAUCCUGGAAUGUGUUCAGAGGAUGGUGUCGAAAAUUGUAAAAGAUCUGGAAGCUAGACCCUAUGAAGAGUGGCUCAGGGUUGUUUUGCCUGGAAAAGAGAAGGUUAAAGGGUAACAUGAUAACCAUGUUUAAAUUUCUAAAUCAGUGGUUCUCAACCUUCCUAAUGCUGCAACCCCUUAAAACAGUUCCUCAUGUUGUGGUGAGCCCUAACCAUAACAUUAUUUUUGUUGCUACUUCACAACUGUAAUUUUUCUAUUGUUAGGAAUUGUAAUGUAAAUUUCUGAUAUGCAGGAUGUAUUUUCAUUCACUGGACCAAAUUUGGCACAAAUACUCAAUACACCCAAAUUUGAAUACUGGUGGGGUGAGGAAUUGAUUUUGUCAUUUGGGAGUUGUAGUUGCUGGGAUUUAUAGCUCAUCUACAAUCAAAGACCCCCAUGAACCCCACUAAUGAUAGAAUUGGGCCAAACUUCCCACACAGAACCCACAUGACCAACAGAAAAUACUAGAGGGAUUUGGGAGGAAUUGACAGUGAUUUAGGGGAGAUGUAGUUCACCUACCUCUGGAGAGCACUGUGAACCCAAACAAUGAUGGAACUGGACCAAAUUUGGCACAAAUACCUUAUACACCAAACUUUGAAUACUGGUGGGGUUGGGAGAUUGAUUUCAUCAUUUGGGAGUUGUAGUUGCUGGGAUUUAUAGUUCACCUACAAUCAAAGAGCAUUCUGAAUUCCACCUACAAUGAAAUUGAACUAAACCUGGCACACAGAACUCCCAUGACCAACAGAAAAUAUUGAAAGAGUUUGGUGUGCGUUGACCUUGGGUCCCGGAGUUGUAGUUUACCUACAUCCAGCCUUUUCUGCCAAAGGGGUUCCUGGUCUUUGGUGACCUCUCUGACACCCCCCAUGACCCCCUCCCGCAGGGGUCCUGACCCCCAGGUUGAGAAACGCUGAUCUAAAUGGAUGUCAUAUUGAGGAGGAAUCAAACUGUUCUGCUGCUCUAGAGACUAGGACAUAGAAAAUGAAUUCAAACUACAGGAAAAAAGAUUCCACAUGAAUAUUAGGAAGAACUUCCUAAUGAUAAGAGUUGUUUGACAGUGGAAUACAUGGUUUUGGAAUGUGAUGAAGUUUCCUUCUCUGAAGGUUUUUAAACAGAAGCUGGAUGGCCAUUCAUCAGGGGUGUUUUAUUGUCUGUUUUUGCAUGACAGAAGGGAUUGGAUUGGAUGGUCCUGGUGGUCUAUGAUGUUUUGAUUCUGUUAAUACCUAUUCAAUCACAGAAAAACACUGGACUUGGAAUUGGUGAAGAGGGCCAGAACCUGAGGAUCUGCAUAUUGCCAUCACAGGCCAGUACAAGCUGGAAAGUCUUCAACCGACAGAGUGGAUACCUUUGGACAGAAUACAAAUAUUUCAAUAUGGCAGGGAAUACAGCUGUUUGGGCCUGGGAAAAGGGAAUCAGGAAGAUCAAGAGCCACAAAAAGUGCCAGACACACCAUGGAAGUGACACAACAACUUGAAUGGGCAAGCUACAAAAGACUCAUAUAACUAGCAGUGAACAUUUUUGUCAGUUGUUCCAAUGUGUGCGUGCUCCAUGAAAUCAUUUGAGGACCAACAGUCAAUAUGUUUUCCAAAGACACAAAACAUUUUGUGUGUUAGAUGAGAAAGCUGGAAAGCUCGAUGUAGAACAGCUGUACUUGACCACUCGUUUAUAUACUGCCUGUAUUCUGGGUCACAAAUUCUAUUCAUUUUCCAAAAUUGGCUAAAGGAUCCAUUGAACUGGAUCCUGCUGGCUUAGAUCUUGCAUAUUUGGCAGGAUAACAGCUUCCUGACUAUAUGGGCAACACUUUGCAGCAGUAAGCAAUGAAUACUUAAGAGGACUCGGCUUUUAAAGUAAUCUCUGCAUGUCAGGAUUCAAAAAGAUUCAAAAGUCACUUGAUUUCUCAUUCAUUAAAGUGAUAAGUCAGAAAUUUGUAUUUCACAGGAAAUGAAUGAAUGGAUGGAUGAACAAAAAAUAAAGUUAAAAAAACUUAAAUAAGGAAAGCAAUCACCCAUUUGCUAAAUGGCUUGUGAUGCGUGUAACAGUUGGGCAGUUCAUUACCCAGCUCUUCCAUGGGAUCACAGCAGUCUCACUGCAUUUUGAUAAGUACUUCUUGUUUCCAGUUGAAUGUGGUCAUUUGGGUGUUAAGCAAUGCUAGGGAAUUAGGGUCUUGUUCCACAGACUUGCAAAAGGUAGUGAGAUUCCUCAUUUCUGUAUAAUGCCCUGACUGUAGCUUUUUCUGGGUCUGUCUGCCUAGCAUGCUUUUAAAAGUAUGGAACUAUCAUACCAUACAGACAUUAAUUUUGUUUUUUUUAUUUAUUUCUACAAUUACUUUGCCUUUUAAGGCAGGCCCUAACAACAUAGCAUUGUCAUGAAAACAUAUGUUAAACAAGCCAUGAUUAAAAAGGGACCAGUCAUGCUUUUUUAUGACAUGGCCAAAGUCUGACUGUUUCGAUUAUAUGCCACAGUUAGAGAAGGAGUAGAGCUUGAUUGAUUUUUAAAAAGUUUGUAGGGUAAUUUUGGGGAAAAUGGAAGGAGAAAGGAAGAGGGGCCGACCAAGGGCAAGAUGUAUGGAUGUUAUCCUUGAAGUGACUGGCUUGACCUUGAAGAAACUGAAGGUAGCGACAGCCAACAGGGAGCUCUGGUGUGGGCUGGUCCAUAAGGUCACGAAGAGUCAGAAGUGACUGACUGUAUGAAUAAACAACAACAGGGAUCUCACAAGGGAUUUAAUAAUAAUAAUAAUAAUAAUAAUAAUAACAACAACAACAACAACAACAACAACAACAACAACAACUUUAUUCUUAUACCCUGCCCCAUCUCCCCAAAGGGACUCGGGACAGCUUACAUGGGCCAUGCCCAAACACAACAGUAUAAUAACAACAGCAAGACAAUAAAACAAAUUACUCAACAAUAACACAUCAGCAUCAAUAAAACAGUCAUAAAAGGUCAACAUACAAAAUAAAAUGUUAAAAAACAGGAGAUGAAUACACGGAUCUGGGCCAAAGUGCAGAAUAUUUCAGAGUCGGGGAGAGGUAGUUUCACAGCUAACAUAGUCAAUAAAGUGCUAAUAUAAUACUGAGAAGGCACAAACUUCACAAAAAAGGAUGGUAUCUGGGGGACUGCUGCAGAAGACUCCCUGUCCAUAGUUGAAAUAUUAUUAUCAUCCACCCUUCUAAGAAUCUCAGCAUCAUCAUUGCUGCUGUUAUUAACUAACGUCAAAUCAAUUUGGACUUAUGGUGACCAUAUGAGAGACCUCCAAGUUCCUCUGUCAUUAACCACACUGCUCUGGCCAUGCAGAGUCAGGCCCAUAGUUUGCUUGAUUGAGUCUAUCCAUCUAGAACAGUGAUUCUCAACCUUUGGACCUCAGCUCCCACAAUUCCUAACAGCUGGUAAGAUGGCUGGAGGGCCAAAGAUUGGUAAUCACUGAUCUAAAAUGUGGCCUUUCUUGUUUCCUCCACCUUACUAAGCAUAAUUGUCUUUUCUAGAAAUUCAGAAGUCAGAUCCAUUGCUGGAGCUUUAAUUUAGUUCAAUUAUUACACACAAUAGGUCUAGCAUUCAUUCAGGGAAGGCCUGUUUCCAAACCAAGUUUUUACUUGGUUCCUGAAUGAUAACACUGUUUGCACUGUCAUAUAAUCCAGUUCAAAGCAGAUAAUCUGGAUAAUAUGUGGCCUUAGUGAAUGCUGGACUAGGAUGCUGUAAAACCAGGGUAUGAAUCCCACUCAACCGUAGAGACCUACUCAGUGUCCUUGUUGCACUAACAGUCUCAGUGAAAGCAAUGCCAAACCUACUCUAAAAUAAAUCUUGCCAAAGAAGCACCAUGAUAAGGUGCUUUCAUAAUUAUGUGCUAAGUAAAAUUCCCUACUGCCAGUUUUUAUAUCACUCCUUGGAGUGAUAUAAAAACUAUCCAAUACCAAGCUGGUUAACGAAAUGGCCUUCAAAUGGCUUUUAUUUCAGAUGCUGUAACAGCUGGCCCCAUCACAGUAAUUCCACUAAAUAAUCAACAUUGCAGCAUCUAUCCACAAUUAAAAUAAAUUGCUAAAUUAACUACUGUGAUAAGCAGUCAAUGUAGCCAUCAGUGGAAAAGUAAAGAUGCCUCAUCUCUAAUAGACAAAAAUGCUUGCUGGUUCCAUGCAUGGUAAUGGAAGAAAUCAAAUGAUUGGUUGUGAAAUAGUGAUAAACAAACAAAGGUCAUACCAAAGGAACUGGAUUGAUUGCCAGAGUUUUGCUUGGGUGGCUCACCAUAUUUCUGCUGUGCAGCUCCCUUACCCUUUUUACUUUGUGAGCUUUAUUCACCUUUCAGCAUCAGGAUGGUUUACAGAUGGCUUUGUUUAAAGGCUUAUUUCACCCUAGUGACUAUUUUCUUGGUUUAUGUUUUUUUUUAAAUAAUAAUAAUAAUAAUAAAAUAAGGCAAUCUAAAUUACCCAUAUAUCUCAAGAACAAUAUAUAUGAACCCAGAUGAUUGUAAGACUGGGGAACUUGAAUUAAAAUCAAGCUCAUGGAAAAGUGGCUGAAUUAUUAUCAUUGGUUUAUAUUGCUUUUCAAAAAAGAUAGAUAAAUAGGUUGAUGAUAGAGACACUGGUCAGUGUAAAAAUACAAACUGUGCUAGGGACUAUAAAAAAAAAUCUGUCCAACGGCAUUAUGAGGGUCUGAUAGGAUGGGUUACUUCUAGCUGUGACACAAAGGCAGGUUUAUCAUCUAAUUCAAUCUCCAUAUCAUAAUUGACUGCUUGGCAUUUUCCUUGGUUGUUAUGCCAAGUUCAAUGUUUAUUUUGUUAUGCUCAUAUUUGUAUAGAGAUGACAAUAUAUUUUUCUACAAAAGGGAAAAUAUGCUAUGACAGAUUCAGAGAGAGAAAGAAAGGACAGAGAGAAGGAUGGAGAGUGAAAUGGAAACACACACAGAAAAAAUUUGGCAUUGUGAGAAGUAGGCAUUUAACACAGAGGUUCACUAUUAUUUUCAGAUUCAGAUGUGGCAUCAAAUGUUUGCCACUUUAUGCUUUAUGUUUGGAAGCUGCACUGAAUCCCUUUGGGGAGAGAGGGUGGGUUGAAAAUAAAUUGUUGUUGUUGUUGUUGUUGUUGUUGUUGUUGUUGUUGUUGUUGUAAUGCACCCAUUUUAUAUUAUGCAGCACUCUAUCAUAUGCAGGCCUUUCCCCCAAUCACUCUAAUGGAAAGAGCACAGAUUAUCUCCACGCCACUGAAAUAAAUGAGAAACCUUUGGCAAGCAAGGCAGCUUUAUGCAUGCUAUGGAUUUUUUCAUGCCAGGAACAAGUUGUUUCAUUGAGACAUUUGAAUUACAUGGUCUAAAAGUUCUUUUUUCUUACACAAUUAUAGCAUAUUAUCGUACAUUCUGGCUGCAUUUGCACCAACAGGAGAGGCAUCACUCUUCGACUAUGUCAAAAUUGUUCAACAUAUCAAUUCUUUUCAUCUUCGGCAACAGCUGUUAGCAUCAGACCUUCACUUAUUUCUUAUGCACUACGCGCUAAAACAAAACCCAUUUCAAGUCAAAUGUUGAACAGGUUUAAAGUGUUUUUGAGAGCCAGUGUAGUGUAGUGGUUUGAGCAUUGGACUUUGUGAUGACCCAUGGGCCUUGUAGUCCUGCUCAGGACAUUGUAAUUCCUGAUGAAGAUGAAAACUUGGGUUUUUUACCUUCCCAGUCUGAACUGGAUUCCUCUCAGCCAGAUCUUUCCCAGGCAGAUCUGGGAACCUUGCACCUGCAAGAAAGUUGUCUCCCAGAAGUAUGUCAAACAAGCCCAGAGCCUACUUCUCCCGUAUUCUUGCGCCGGGAGUUUUGUAAACAACAGAGAAGUUUGGAUUCAGCUUCGCGCAGGAGUGCGAGGAUUGCAGCUAAGAAUGUGGCCAAUUAAGACUGCUUCUCGUGAGAAUCUUUGGGGAGUCUCACAUCUGGUCUCAGAGUUAGCUUUCGGUUCUGAUUCCCAGAGAACUGCUUCGGCGGGAAGCUAGACUCUAUUUAGGUGUUUUACCCGCGUAGUAACUUCGCGGAGUCAAUUCGUCAGCCUACGGAGCGAGUUGUGUCUGGACAGCGCGCUCCGGUUCAAGCCUCGCUCCUGCUCAAGCCUUGCCUUGCUAUCCAGCCUUCGCCUUGCUUCCCAGCCUUUGUUUAUCUACGGACUUUGCCUUGUUUCCCAGGAUCAAUCCUUGCCUUGUUCCACGGAUUUAUCAAGUUAUUCCACGGACCUUGUUCUUGUUCUUAGUUACCUUGUUCCACGUUCAAGCCUUGUUUCAAGUAUCAAGUUAUUUCCUAGCCUCGCUCAAGUUUCAUGGACUAAAGGACCUUGUCAUCUCCCCUCACUUUGCUUGGCAAAGUGAGUGUUUCGGUUAUUGGAUUACAACUUUGGACCUUAAUAUUUCUUAUUGGACAUUGCUUUUUUGGACUAAUUCUGACCUUCCCUGAAAGGUCUAAUUCUGGACUAUUUUCUACACUUGUUUUUAUUAACUUUAUAUAUUCCUACAAUAAAGAUAUUAGAUAGAUUCUGGCCUCUGUGUAUGGUUAUUGGUGCUCUGCAGCCUGGGUCGUGACAGUUUGACUCCGCCGCCCUAAGCACCAAUUAACCUCGGCCAGAAUGUCUACCGGAGUCGUACCUGGGCCGAGCGGCCAGCCGAUUACCUACACCAUCGACAAGGAAGAGGUGGACCGAAUCCGUGAUAAGCUCAAUGCACAGGAUGGAGAAAUAAGGGGUUUGAAGGAACGCGGAGUUCGUCUUCCGGCCAUGGCGUUGCCAACCAAGUUUACUGGAGAAGCUUCUAAGGUUCAUGUCUUCCGUCGCCAAUGUCAAGCUUAUCUGGAGGCCCGUGCUGCCGAGUUUCCCCAAGAAGACAUCAAAGUGGCAUGGGUUUACAGUCUUCUAGACGGGCCAGCGGCCAGCUGGGCGACGGCACUGUUCGACCAAGCCUCUCCACACCUAAGAUCAGCGCAACACUUCUUGGACCACCUCAAGGAGACUUGGGGAAUCGAGGACAAUUUGGAGGCAGCCGGUCACAAACUCCGUCGCCUUUUCCAAGGAGACAGACCUAUGUCUCAGUAUAUAGCCGAGUUCCGAGUGCUGGCCCACAACACCGGCUGGAACGAUGUAGCCCUCAGGGGACAAUUCCGGGAGGGUCUCAACAUUGAAAUGCUGGAAGAAAUCUCCAAGGUGGAUCCUCCCCAGACCCUCGAGGCACUCAUUGAUCAAUGUUUACGGGCUGAAGUCAUGAUUGCCAACAGGAAACAGUGGGUUCGAGGCCAGGGCAGUAGAGCCGGGGCAAAACCCCCCGCUCCCGCCAGCGUUCAGCCACGUCCGGUGUGGAGACCCCCACCGCCAACCCCAUACCCCAGAGGAGGCGAGGAGGUGCCGAUGCAGUUGGGCAAUGUGCGUCCCAGACUAGAUGCCGCCGAGAAGGCCCGUCGUCAACGCUUAAACCUCUGCUGGUACUGCGGGAACGGGGGCCACUUCGCCAGAGAGUGCCCAGCCAAAGGGAAGCCUGCCGCCCGUCUUGCGGCGGCGUCCUCCACGGAGACGAAGGCGUCUGAGCCGACUGGCACACAGCCGGCGGGGGAAGCCAACGACCGGGUGUAGAGAGGCUCGCCAACCCGGUCAAAAAAUCCAUCCAAGAGCCGCCAACCGGGGUCCUGUUCCUUCUCGUGGUCACAUUAUGGUCAGCAAAAAGGGGACCCGUCAUGAUCCACGCCAUGAUAGACUCUGGAGCUACCAACAAUUUCAUCGAUAGAGAGUAUGCCGACUCUCUGGGAUUACAAUAUCAUGAUUUCAAGAAUGCCCGUGUGGUGCAAGCCAUAGACGGCCGUCCCCUCAAGACGGGCCCCGUAAGUCAGUGGUCGGAACCCACCAGGAUGUGGAUAAGGGAACAUAUGGAAGAGAUUUCCUUCUUUGUUACCGAGGUCCCCCAUUUCCCUGUGAUUUUGGGAAUUCCAUGGCUGACUCUCCACGACCCUAACAUCUCCUGGUCCAACAGAGAACUGCAGUUUGCUUCACCGUACUGCCAAAACCAUUGCCUCGUAGCCAAGGUAUGCCAUGCCACAGACACCGAGCCCAUCAUCACCUUGCCAAAGAAGUACUCCGAGUAUUGGGAUGUAUUCAAUGAGAAAGAAGCCGAAAAAUUACCCCCACAUAGACCUUAUGACUGUGCCAUUGACUUGGUGGAGGGGGCCCCGAUCCCGCGAGGGCAUCUCUACUCCCUGACUGAACCAGAGCAAGAAGCUCUCAGGGAAUUCCUAGAGACAAACCUUCGCAAGGGAUUCAUCAGACCCUCUCAAUCCCCAGCCGCCUCCCCAGUGAUGUUUGUGAAGAAGAAGUCAGGGGAACUACGCUUGGUGGUGGACUACAGAGCAUUGAACAAUAUCACCAAGCGGAACAGCUAUCCCCUGCCUUUAAUCUCGGAUCUACUGGAUCGGCUUCGAGGAGCCAAGGUUUACACCAAGCUGGAUCUUCGGGGGGCUUACAACUUAGUUCGCAUCAGGGAAGGGGACGAGUGGAAGACCGCCUUCCAGACCAAAUUCGGAUUAUUUGAGUCCCGAGUUAUGAAUUUCGGUUUAUGCGGAGCCCCCGCAACGUUCCAGCAUUUUGUCAAUGACAUUUUUCAGGACUAUCUAGACAGGUUCUUGAUAAUCUACCUGGACGAUUUUUUGGUGUUUUCCAGAUCACAAUCAGAACAUGAGAACCACGUCAAAAUGGUGUUACAACGAUUGCGGGAUCAUGGACUUUAUGCCAAGCUGGAAAAAUGCGCUUUUGAUCUACAAGAGGUAGAUUUCCUUGGUUACCGCAUCUCGCCUCUAGGGCUUUCCAUGGAUCCAGCCAAAGUUUCAGCAGUAUUGGAAUGGCGGGCGCCAACUAACAAGAAAGAGGUGCAGCGUUUCUUGGGGUUCGCGAACUACUACCGCAAGUUCAUUCCAGAUUUUGCCCGCUGGUCCGACCCCAUCACUAGCUGCAUCCGUGGAAAGCAGCCUUUCCGCUGGACUGAUCAAGCAGAGAAAGGGUUCCAGCAACUAAAGAAACUAUUCACCUCCCAGCCAAUUCUACAGCACCCAAAUCCUGGAACCCCUUUUGUGGUGCAAGCGGACGCCUCUGAUGUGGCAAUUGGGGCUGUACUCUUACAACCGGUGGGAGAUCACCUCCACCCCUGUGCCUUUUAUUCUCGUCAACUAACCACACCAGAGAGGAAUUACACCAUUUGGGAAAAAGAACUACUGGCCAUAAAGGCAGCCUUUGAAACUUGGAGACAUUGGCUAGAAGGGGCCAAAUUUCCCAUUGAAGUCCACACUGAUCAUCGUAAUCUAGAACAUCUAAGAACUGCCCGCAAACUAAAUCAGAGGCAGCAACGUUGGGCUUUAUUCUUUGAACGUUUCAACUUCCAGAUCCAUUAUGUGACCCCAGCCCAAACCAAGCAAGCAGACGCCCUGUCACGUAAACCGGAAUACGCUGCAGGACGCAAGGAGACCUUUGAAUCCCAACUGCUACAACCUGAGAACUUUGCCACGCUCACGGUGGGGAACACCAAAUCCAUUCCCAUUGGUUCAACUUCCCCUACUCCAGGACCCAUCUGUGCUCAAGAAAUCAGGGCUAGUCAGCAAGCAGAUGCCUGGGCGCAGGACCAACUUCGCCAAGGUCUGCAUUUCCCCUUUUCGCUUAAAGAUGGGCUGCUCUGCUAUAGAAAUCAUGUUUAUAUCCCACCCGGACCGGGCAGGGAAAAAGCGCUUCGUCUGUGUCAUGACUGCAAACCAGCAGGACACUUCGGACUAUUUAAAACUAUGCAUUUGAUCCUAAGGGAUUUUUGGUGGCCCAAGAUCCGCAAGGAUGUGGAAAAAUAUGUCAACACCUGCCCAGUAUGCCAGCGCUCCAAGAUACGAAGGGAGAAGCCCUCAGGGCUUUUACACCCCCUUCCUACCCCAUCUCGCCCAUGGGAAAUAAUUUCCGCGGAUUUCAUCACUGACCUACCACCUUCCUGUGGAUUCACCACGAUCUUAGUGGUGGUGGACCUAUUCACCAAGUUAGCCCAUUUCAUUCCCUGCGAAGGCCUCCCCACGGCCAAGGAAACUGCGGAUCUAUUUCUUCAACAUGUUUUCAGACUACAUGGAUUGCCCAAGAGUUUAGUCACAGACCGUGGAUCUCAAUUCACCUCUCGUUUUUGGAAGGCACUACAAAAACUAUUGGGCAUAGACUCUCGCUUAUCUUCAGCUCAUCAUCCCCAAACAGAUGGGCAAACGGAGCGCACCAAUGCCACUUUGGAGCAGUAUCUUCGCUGUUAUGUAAACUAUCAACAGGACAAUUGGGCUUCUCUGUUACCACUGUCUGAGUUUGCCUACAACAAUGGAGUUCAAGCUUCUACAAAAGAAACGCCGUUCUUUGCAAACUACGGCUUCCAUCCACGUUUCUUUCCCCCUGUCAUUGAAACUUCAGAGGUUCCCGCAGCAGAGGAUUGGCUGCAGGAACUCACAGCGGUGCAACAACUUUUGCUCCAGCAACUGGACCAAGCCAAGGAGGACUAUAAACGCCACGCUGACAAACAUCGCCAGCCGGGCCCUGAAAUCAAGGUAGGAGAUCGGGUUUUCCUGUCCACUCGCUUUCUGCCCUCCCACCGCCCUUGCCGGAAGUUAGAUGCCCGUUUCAUUGGUCCCUAUCCAGUGGUGGCGCAAUUAAACCCCGUGACUUUCAAACUCCAACUUCCGCGUUCAAUGCGCAUUCACCCAGUGUUUCACCGUUCCCUGCUCCUUCCGGCGGAUGGUGUGCGACCUGAUACAGACCAACCGGCCCCCCCUCCUGUUUUGAUGAAUGGGGAGGAGGAGUUCGAGGUUGAGGACAUUUUGGAUUCUCGCUUUCACCGCCGCCGCCUACAAUAUCUCAUUGACUGGGUGGGUUUUGGCCCUGAGGAACGCUCUUGGGAAGACGCCUCCACAGUCCAUGCUCCUGAUCUAACCCGUCGCUUUCAUCAGACCUAUCCCACCAAACCGCGACCUCGCGCCUCGGGGAGAGGGCCCCAGUUUGGGAGGGGCCUUGAGGAGGGGGAUAGUGUGAUGACCCAUGGGCCUUGUAGUCCUGCUCAGGACAUUGUAAUUCCUGAUGAAGAUGAAAACUUGGGUUUUUUACCUUCCCAGUCUGAACUGGAUUCCUCUCAGCCAGAUCUUUCCCAGGCAGAUCUGGGAACCUUGCACCUGCAAGAAAGUUGUCUCCCAGAAGUAUGUCAAACAAGCCCAGAGCCUACUUCUCCCGUAUUCUUGCGCCGGGAGUUUUGUAAACAACAGAGAAGUUUGGAUUCAGCUUCGCGCAGGAGUGCGAGGAUUGCAGCUAAGAAUGUGGCCAAUUAAGACUGCUUCUCGUGAGAAUCUUUGGGGAGUCUCACAUCUGGUCUCAGAGUUAGCUUUCGGUUCUGAUUCCCAGAGAACUGCUUCGGCGGGAAGCUAGACUCUAUUUAGGUGUUUUACCCGCGUAGUAACUUCGCGGAGUCAAUUCGUCAGCCUACGGAGCGAGUUGUGUCUGGACAGCGCGCUCCGGUUCAAGCCUCGCUCCUGCUCAAGCCUUGCCUUGCUAUCCAGCCUUCGCCUUGCUUCCCAGCCUUUGUUUAUCUACGGACUUUGCCUUGUUUCCCAGGAUCAAUCCUUGCCUUGUUCCACGGAUUUAUCAAGUUAUUCCACGGACCUUGUUCUUGUUCUUAGUUACCUUGUUCCACGUUCAAGCCUUGUUUCAAGUAUCAAGUUAUUUCCUAGCCUCGCUCAAGUUUCAUGGACUAAAGGACCUUGUCAUCUCCCCUCACUUUGCUUGGCAAAGUGAGUGUUUCGGUUAUUGGAUUACAACUUUGGACCUUAAUAUUUCUUAUUGGACAUUGCUUUUUUGGACUAAUUCUGACCUUCCCUGAAAGGUCUAAUUCUGGACUAUUUUCUACACUUGUUUUUAUUAACUUUAUAUAUUCCUACAAUAAAGAUAUUAGAUAGAUUCUGGCCUCUGUGUAUGGUUAUUGGUGCUCUGCAGCCUGGGUCGUGACAGACUUUGAUGAUCACGUUUUGAAUCCCCACUUAGUUAUGGCAACUCCAUAUGAAGCCAGUGGCGCACUGGGUUAAAUCGUUGCAUUGACAGGACUGAUGACCUGAAGGUUGGGUUGCUGACCUGAAGGUUGCUGAUUCGAAUCUAACCCAGAGAGAGCAUUGAUCAGCUCCCUCUAUCAGCUCCAGCUCCAUGUGGGGAGAUGAGAGAAGCCUCCCACAAGGAUAGUAAAACAUCAACCAUCCGGGCAUCCCCUGGGCAAUGUCCUUGCAGACGGCCAAUUCUCUCACAUCAGAAUCGACUUGCAGGUUCUCAAGUUGCUCCUGAUAUGAAAAAAAGAAUGGCAACUCCAUGGGUGAGCUUAGGCAAGUCAUUCUCUCUAAGCUGUAAAGGAAGGCAAAGGCAAAAGCCCUUUAGAACAAAUCUUGCUAGGAAACCCCCAUAAUAGGUUUGCCUUGAAGUCACAAAAUGGAGUGUUUUCUCCUUCAAGCACAGAGUCACCACAACCCAUCUAUAUCAUUCCUAUCUAUAUGAGUAAAGAUAAAGAAGACAAGAAAAGUUAAAAAUGAGUACCAACUUUCUUUACCUUGGUUGUGAGUCUUAAUAUAAUGUACUUACCUUCACUAGCAGUAGCUAAUGAAAAAAAUACCAUAUAUAUUUCUUCCAAUAACUGAAACCCACUAAUUAUCAAAACCUACCAUUAUCUAUAUUAUUCCCUUUUCUCUACAAAGAGGCAAUUAAGAGUUCCCUUCCUUUGAUCAAAGUGGAAAAUUUGUUCAUUUCACCAUCUACAGCCAUUUCGAUCCCUUGUAACUCAAGUGUAACCUUUGGGGUCCCCCGGUACUCACCAGUAUGUAAAGAAGGGUGGGAAUUUUCCUUAUUUUUGUCUUUAUAACAACUUACCAAAAUAUGCCCAUCCUUUUCAUAUUCAGGAUGGAGAGAGAGAAGUCAAAACAGAUGAACUGGACAAUGUAGACUAGCUUGACAAAGUACAUCCUAUACCUGUGAUUUUCAGGGUUCUAAUUGACAGAUACUGAAGCCCCUCAAAUUAAAAGAAUCUUACUGUC